GCGGAUAUGUUCGAAUGGUAAAAUUUCUCUUUGCCAAGGAUAAGACGCGGGUUUGAUUCCCGCAUCCCGAU
rnacentral:tRNA from 2 species